CAGUCGCCGCGGUAAAACGGAGGGAGCUAGCGUUGUUCGGAAUCACUGGGCGUAAAGCGCACGUAGGCGGCUAUUCAAGUCAGGGGUGAAAGCCCGGGGCUCAACCCCGGAACUGCCUUUGAAACUAGAUAACUUGAAUCUUGGAGAGGCGAGUGGAAUUCCGAGUGUAGAGGUGAAAUUCGUAGAUAUUCGGAAGAACACCAGUGGCGAAGGCGACUCGCUGGACAAGUAUUGACGCUGAGGUGCGAAAGCGUGGGGAGCAAACAGGAUUAGAUACCCGGGUAGUCCCUGUCUCUUAUAC
rnacentral:rRNA from 1 species